rnacentral:rRNA from 1 species
ACGGGUGAGUAAUACAUCGGAACAUGUCCUGUAGUGGGGGAUAGCCCGGCGAAAGCCGGAUUAAUACCGCAUACGAUCUACGGAUGAAAGCGGGGGACCUUCGGGCCUCGCGCUAUAGGGUUGGCCGAUGGCUGAUUAGCUAGUUGGUGGGGUAAAGGCCUACCAAGGCGACGAUCAGUAGCUGGUCUGAGAGGACGACCAGCCACACUGGGACUGAGACACGGCCCAGACUCCUACGGGAGGCAGCAGUGGGGAAUUUUGGACAAUGGGCGAAAGCCUGAUCCAGCAAUGCCGCGUGUGUGAAGAAGGCCUUCGGGUUGUAAAGCACUUUUGUCCGGAAAGAAAUCCUUGGCUCUAAUACAGUCGGGGGAUGACGGUACCGGAAGAAUAAGCACCGGCUAACUACGUGCCAGCAGCUGCGGUAAUACGUAGGGUGCGAGCGUUAAUCGGAAUUACUGGGCGUAAAGCGUGCGCAGGCGGUUUGCUAAGACCGAUGUGAAAUCCCCGGGCUCAACCUGGGAACUGCAUUGGUGACUGGCAGGCUAGAGUAUGGCAGAGGGGGGUAGAAUUCCACGUGUAGCAG